rnacentral:rRNA from 1 species
AGCGAACGCUGGCGGCAGGCCUAACACAUGCAAGUCGAACGAACCUUUCGGGGUUAGUGGCGGACGGGUGAGUAACACGUGGGAACGUGCCUUUAGGUUCGGAAUAACUCAGGGAAACUUGUGCUAAUACCGAAUGUGCCCUUCGGGGGAAAGAUCUAUCGCCUUUAGAGCGGCCCGCGUCGGUUUAGCUAGUUGGUUGAGGUAAUGGCGCACCAAGGCGACGAUCAGUACCUGGUCUGAGAGGAUGAUCAGCCACAUUGGGACUGAGACACGGCCCAAACUCCUACGGGAGGCAGCAGUGGGGAAUCUUGCGCAAUGGGCGAAAGCCUGACGCAGCCAUGCCGCGUGAAUGAUGAAGGUCUUAGGAUUGUAAAAUUCUUUCACCGGGGACGAUAAUGACGGUACCCGGAGAAGAAGCCCCGGCUAACUUCGUG